rnacentral:ncRNA from 2 species
AGGUAAGUUAAGGGGUGCUGCGAUAUUUCGCGGCUGAGAUCAAACCCUAUGACCUGAUCCGGGUAAUGCCGGCGUAGGAAGGCACACAGUGUGUGAAA